GAUGAACGCUAGCUACAGGCUUAACACAUGCAAGUCGAGGGGUAACAAGAGAAAAGCUUGCUUUUCUUGUUGACGACCGGCGCACGGGUGAGUAACGCGUAUCCAACCUGCCUAUAACUAGGGAAUAACCUUGCGAAAGUAAGACUAAUACCCUAUGAUUUCCUUUGAUGGCAUCAGAUUAGGAAUAAAGAUUUAUCGGUUAUAGAUGGGGAUGCGUCUGAUUAGCUUGUUGGCGGGGUAACGGCCCACCAAGGCAACGAUCAGUAGGGGUUCUGAGAGGAAGGUCCCCCACAUUGGAACUGAGACACGGUCCAAACUCCUACGGGAGGCAGCAGUGAGGAAUAUUGGUCAAUGGGCGGAAGCCUGAACCAGCCAAGUAGCGUGCAGGAUGACGGCCCUAUGGGUUGUAAACUGCUUUUAUACAGGAAUAAAGUUAGCCACGUGUGGUUAUUUGUAGGUACUGUAUGAAUAAGGACCGGCUAAUUCCGUGCCAGCCGCCGCCGUAA
rnacentral:rRNA from 1 species